GACGAACGCUGGCGGCGUGCUUAAUACAUGCAAGUCGAGCGGACAGGCCCUGCUCUUGUGGCGUUCUCGAGUGGCGAAGACGUGAGUAUCACGUGAGUAACCCGCCCUUAACAUUGGGGUAAAUCCUGGAAACUGCGGCUAAAACCCGAUAGGAUAUCCUGCAGCACGGGGUGCGUUGGAAAAUUUCGGCGGUUGUGGAUGGACUGGCGGCUUAUCAGCUUGUUGGGGAGGUAGUGGCUUACCAAGGUUUUGACGGGUAGCCGGCCUGGGAGGGGGACCGGCCACAUUGGGACUGAGGUACGGCCCAGACUCCUACGGGAGGCAGCAGUGGGGAAUAUUGCGCAGUGGGCGGAAGCCUGAUGCAGCAACGCCGCGUGCGGGAUGACGGGCUUCGGGUUGUAAACCACUUUCGCCUGUGACGAAGCGUGAGUGACGGUAAUGGGUAAAGAAGCACCGGCUAACUACGUG
rnacentral:rRNA from 1 species